UCGGGAAUUUUGGGCAAUGGGCGAAAGCCUGACCCAGCAACGCCGCGUGAAGGAUGAAGUAUUUCGGUAUGUAAACUUCGAAAGAAUAGGAAGAAUAAAUGACGGUACUAUUUAUAAGGUCCGGCUAACUACGUGCCAGCAGCCGCGGUAAUACGUAGGGACCAAGCGUUGUUCGGAUUUACUGGGCGUAAAGCGCGCGUAGGUGGUUAGUUAAGUUGGAUGUGAAAUCCCCGGGCUCAACCUGGGAACUGCAUUCAAAACUGACUGACUAGAGUAUGGUAGAGGGUGGUGGAAUUUCCUGUGUAGCGGUGAAAUGCGUAGAUAUAGGAAGGAACACCAGUGGCGAAGGCGACCACCUGGACUGGUACUGACACUGAGGUGCGAAAGCGUGGGGAGCAAACAGGAUUAGAUACCCCGGUAGUCCCUGAGCGGGCUGGCAAGGCGCAU
rnacentral:rRNA from 1 species